rnacentral:lncRNA from 1 species
AAUUUUCGAGUGGAAAGAUGUGGUAAAAUUAAUCGAGAAAGAAUUUGUGUGCUUUUCGAUGAUGUAAGAUUGUAAGUGAUCCUUAUUAUCAAGUUUGACAUACUAUAUUAUGUGCAUACAAAAGAAAAUAAACAGCCUCAAUUGAUAAAUAUAAAUGAAAUUUAUUUCCUCACAAUAUUAUGUGCAUACAAAAGAAUACAAUAAAUCCAACCCGAAAAUAAAUAUAUAAUAAUAACAACAAUCCAUAAAACUCACGUGAUCAUAUCAUAACAAAUCCAUACCCGAAAACCCAAAAUCAAAAGAAGAACAGAAAAUACAGAAGGAAAUAAAAGAACUCAGUGCCUCAAAAGAGCGAAAAGGGAGAACAAAAUAGAUGUUCCAAUGACGGCGCUGGAGACUGGUAAAGAGAAUGCAUCUCCGACAUCAGGAGACGGGGCCGGUGCCUGAGCAGAGACAGUAACAGCCACGGCGGAUAGAGCGACGAUGGCGUAGGCCAGCAGGAAAGACAUUUGUGCCAUUGUAUUGAUUGAAUUUGUAAGCAAAACUAGAAACAGAAAUUGUAUGGAGAAAUAGACAGACAGAGAAUAAGUAAUUUGUGGU